ACGUAAAGCUUCGGCUUGUGAAACCUAAAAAUAAUGGUGAGCAUCGACUAUGUUGAAUAAAGUUCUAGAUAUGAUAUUGAUUAUGACAAUUUUUUAUCUAUUUGUCUUGACCAAAAUACGUGCCAGCAGUCGCGGUAAGACGUAAAAGACAAGUGUUAUUCAUCUUUAAUAGGUUUAAAGGGUACCUAGACGGUAUUAUUAGCCCAAAAAAGGGUACGAUUAUACUAGAGUUUUAUAGGAGAAGGAAGUAUUUAUGGAGGAGAGUUUAUAUUUCAUUAUACCUUAGAGACUGGUAAAGGCGAAAGCAACCUUCUAUCUAAUAACUGACGUUGAGGUACGAAGGCCUGGGUAACGAACAGGAUUAGAUACCCUAGUAGUCCAGGCAGACAAUUAUGAAUGCCAUAUGCUAGAUUAAUUUAGCAUAUAAAUGAAAGUGUAAGCAUUUCACCUUAAGAGUAAUGCGGCAACGCAGAAACUGAAAUCAUUAGGCCGUUUCUGAAAUCAGUAGUGAAGUAUGUUAUUUAAUUCGAUAAUCCACGAAAAACCUUACCACAAUUUGCAUAUUAUUUUUAAUCUUAAUUGCUUAAAAAUAUUACAAGCGUUGCACGGCUGUCUUCAGUUAAUGUCGUGAGAUUUUGGUUAGUUCCAUAAAAUUAACGUAAACCCUUGCUUUAUUUUUAAAUAGUAUUUUUAUAGAGCAGUUCGCCAUUAUAUUGGUUGAUA
rnacentral:rRNA from 1 species